UACGUAGGGGGCAAGCGUUGUCCGGAUUUAUUGGGCGUAAAGAGCGUGUAGGCGGCCUGAAAGGUCAGCUGUGAAAACUCGAGGCUCAACCUCGAGACGUCGGUUGAAACCAUCUGGCUAGAGUCCGGAAGAGGAGAGUGGAAUUCCUGGUGUAGCGGUGAAAUGCGCAGAUAUCAGGAAGAACACCUAUGGCGAAGGCAGCUCUCUGGGACGGUACUGACGCUGAGACGCGAAAGCGUGGGGAGCGAACAGG
rnacentral:rRNA from 1 species